AACCACACCGUCGUACAAGUGAACAAAAACGCCAACCCAGACCCACUGCCAAAAAAAGAGGAAGAGAAGAAGGAGGAGGAGGAAGACGACCGUGGGGAAGACGGCCCUAAGCCAAUGCCUCCCUAUAGCUCCAUGUUCAUCCUGUCCACGACCAACCCCCUUCGCCGCCUGUGCCAUUACAUCCUGAACCUGCGCUACUUUGAGAUGUGCAUCCUCAUGGUCAUUGCCAUGAGCAGCAUCGCCCUGGCCGCCGAGGACCCUGUGCAGCCCAACGCACCUCGGAACAACGUGCUGCGAUAUUUUGACUACGUUUUUACAGGCGUCUUUACCUUUGAGAUGGUGAUCAAGAUGAUUGACCUGGGGCUCGUCCUGCAUCAGGGUGCCUACUUCCGUGACCUCUGGAAUAUUCUCGACUUCAUAGUGGUCAGUGGGGCCCUGGUAGCCUUUGCCUUCACUGGCAAUAGCAAAGGAAAAGACAUCAACACGAUUAAAUCCCUCCGAGUCCUCCGGGUGCUACGACCUCUUAAAACCAUCAAGCGGCUGCCAAAGCUCAAGGCUGUGUUUGACUGUGUGGUGAACUCACUUAAAAACGUCUUCAACAUCCUCAUCGUCUACAUGCUAUUCAUGUUCAUCUUCGCCGUGGUGGCUGUGCAGCUCUUCAAGGGGAAAUUCUUCCACUGCACUGACGAGUCCAAAGAGUUUGAGAAAGAUUGUCGAGGCAAAUACCUCCUCUACGAGAAGAAUGAGGUGAAGGCGCGAGAUCGGGAGUGGAAGAAGUAUGAAUUCCAUUACGACAAUGUGCUGUGGGCUCUGCUGACCCUCUUCACCGUGUCCACGGGAGAAGGCUGGCCACAGGUCCUCAAGCAUUCGGUGGACGCCACCUUUGAGAACCAGGGCCCCAGCCCCGGGUACCGCAUGGAGAUGUCCAUUUUCUACGUCGUCUACUUUGUGGUGUUCCCCUUCUUCUUUGUCAAUAUCUUUGUGGCCUUGAUCAUCAUCACCUUCCAGGAGCAAGGGGACAAGAUGAUGGAGGAAUACAGCCUGGAGAAAAAUGAGAGGGCCUGCAUUGAUUUCGCCAUCAGCGCCAAGCCGCUGACCCGACACAUGCCGCAGAACAAGCAGAGCUUCCAGUACCGCAUGUGGCAGUUCGUGGUGUCUCCGCCUUUCGAGUACACGAUCAUGGCCAUGAUCGCCCUCAACACCAUCGUGCUUAUGAUGAAGUUCUAUGGGGCUUCAGUUGCUUAUGAAAAUGCCCUGAGGGUGUUCAACAUCGUCUUCACCUCCCUCUUCUCUCUGGAAUGUGUGCUGAAAGUCAUGGCUUUUGGGAUUCUGAAUUAUUUCCGCGAUGCCUGGAACAUCUUCGACUUUGUGACUGUUCUGGGCAGCAUCACCGAUAUCCUCGUGACUGAGUUUGGGGUAAGUCUCCCUCCAGCUUCUCUCUGGGUGACUCUGGGCUGGACGAGGCAGGCGGCAGGGGGCGGGGGAGCGGUCCCAGAGGCAGUGUGUCCCGGCAGCCAUAGCUGCUUGAGCCAGCACUUGGCCAUGACCAGAGAGGGAGAACUGGGGCCCCGGGGACAAUGGCAGCCCCUCAGGAGGGCAUCGUGGGGAGAUGGGGGUGACCAAAGCUUGGCUGUAGGGCCAGCACUGAGGGGUGGGCUUUCCUGCAUCCUGGCCUAGGAAUUAAUAAUGCAGAUGAGUACAUUGAGGGAACUGAGACACUCAAAAGCUCCGAAAGCUGAGCCGGCUCCCAAACACCACCCUAUGUCAGGAGCCCAGAAAGAAUGGGUUUCGAGUCAAUUCUGUUUGAACCAACCCUCUCCUAGUUGGCAGGAGAGAGCCACAGCCCUCAGGCCAGUGUGGGGACACCACUCCCAGGGCCAUAGAGAGGUCCCCAGGGUGUCUUCCCUCCUCUAGCCCCGGGCCUGGGAGACUCUCAACAUGGGAGUCUCUGGACCUCUCUGUGGUGGCCUCACAGGCCACAUUGCCCUUCUCCUUUUCUGGAAGACUCAGGGCCCCAGAGGUCCUGUCCUAGACCCUCUCCUUGGCCAUCUGCCAAUGAGCCCAGGCUUGGGGUCCCUCAGGAGAUUGGGGGGAGGGUAGAAGAUCCUUGCAGGGGGAAGCAAUGGUCAAAAAAGGGUGUCAAAGCCAAGGGUCAAGGGUGAUAUCGAUGUCAUCUUACUAACAAUAAAAAUAACAAUAGCUCACGAGAAUCGCAGCCUUGCUGUGUGCCAGGGAACUGUGCCAAGUGGUUUACGUGGAUUGGCUCAGGAUAGAGGUCUUGGUCUCAGCUCGUGAGAGAAUUCCCUCGGAGGGUUCAACUGAAGGCACCCAAAUGCAGAGCUCACUGGUGGAGGGGAAGGGAAGGGUGCCCACAAGGGUGGCAAGGUGUCCAGCGACCAGCCACCAUGGGGAGCUGUUACCUGCCCAGGUGCUGAAGUGGGGAGGAAACCUGAGCCGGAGGCCAGGAGAAGCCACCAAGUGGGAGCUGUCCUGUCAAUGUGGAGAGACAGAGACCAGGGCCCAAGCAGGCAGAGAGCAAUAGGGGAGAAACACCCCAACCUUUCUCUCCCCUCAUCCCUCAUCUCCUGCCAGAGCCUCCCAUGGCCCAAAGUAAACCAGAAGCAAGCUGAAUAUGAUGCUCAGAGCAGGCAGGGAAGUCAGGAGAAUAGAUCUGGGUGUGGUCGGGCCUGAGGAAGAGGGUGUUGCCUCAUUUCACAGAUGGGAAAACUGACCUCAGCCGGGCACGGUGGCUCACGCCUGUAAUCCCAGCACUUUGGGAGGCCGAAGCCGGCGGAUCACCUGAGGCCAGGAGUUCAAGACCAGCC
rnacentral:sRNA from 1 species